GACGAACGCNGGCGGCGUGCCUAAUACAUGCAAGUCGAGCGAAGUUUUUCUGGUGCUUGCACUAGAAAAACUUAGCGGCGAACGGGUGAGUAACACGUAAAGAACCUGCCUCAUAGACUGGGACAACUAUUGGAAACGAUAGCUAAUACCGGAUAACAGCAUUAACUGCAUGGUUGAUGUUUAAAAGUUGGUUUUGCUAACACUAUGAGAUGGCUUUGCGGUGCAUUAGCUAGUUGGUGGGGUAAAGGCCUACCAAGGCGACGAUGCAUAGCCGACCUGAGAGGGUGAUCGGCCACACUGGGACUGAGACACGGCCCAGACUCCUACGGGAGGCAGCAGUAGGGAAUCUUCCGCAAUGGGCGAAAGCCUGACGGAGCAACGCCGCGUGAGUGAAGAAGGAUUUCGGUUCGUAAAGCUCUGUUGUUAGGGAAGAAUGAUUGUGUAGUAACUAUACACAGUAGAGACGGUACCUAACCAGAAAGCCACGGCUAACUACGUGCCAGCAGCCGCGGUAAUACGUAGGUGGCAAGCGUUGUCCGGAAUUAUUGGGCGUAAAGCGCGCGCAGGUGGUUUAAUAAGUCUGAUGUGAAAGCCCACGGCUCAACCGUGGAGGGUCAUUGGAAACUGUUAAACUUGAGUGCAGGAGAGAAAAGUGGAAUUCCUAGUGUAGCGGUGAAAUGCGUAGAGAUUAGGAGGAACACCAGUGGCGAAGGCGGCUUUUUGGCCUGUAACUGACACUGAGGCGCGAAAGCGUGGGGAGCAAACAGG
rnacentral:rRNA from 1 species